AACGAACGCUGGCGGCAGGCUUAACACAUGCAAGUCGAGCGCCCCGCAAGGGGAGCGGCAGACGGGUGAGUAACGCGUGGGAACGUGCCCUUUGGUUCGGAACAACUCCGGGAAACUGGAGCUAAUACCGGAUAAGCCCUUCGGGGGAAAGAUUUAUCGCCAAAGGAUCGGCCCGCGUCUGAUUAGCUAGUUGGUGAGGUAAUGGCUCACCAAGGCGACGAUCAGUAGCUGGUCUGAGAGGAUGAUCAGCCACACUGGGACUGAGACACGGCCCAGACUCCUACGGGAGGCAGCAGUGGGGAAUAUUGGACAAUGGGCGCAAGCCUGAUCCAGCCAUGCCGCGUGAGUGAUGAAGGCCUUAGGGUUGUAAAAUCCUUUCACCGGUGAAGACAAUGACUGUAGCCGGAGAAGAAGCCCCGGCUAACUUCGUGCCAGCAGCCGCGUAACAC
rnacentral:rRNA from 1 species